CAGCAGCCACGGGAAUACGAAGGGGGCUAGCGUUGUUCGGAUUUACUGGGCGUAAAGGGCGCGUAGGCGGGCGAAUAAGUCAGGGGUGAAAUCCCAAGGCUCAACCUUGGAACUGCCUUUGAUACUGUUUGUCUUGAGUUCGAGAGAGGUAAGUGGAACUGCGAGUGUAGAGGUGAAAUUCGUAGAUAUUCGCAAGAACACCAGUGGCGAAGGCGGCUUACUGGCUCGAAACUGACGCUGAGGCGCGAAAGCGUGGGGAGCAAACAGGAUUAGAUACCCCGGUAGUCCCUGUCUCUUAUAC
rnacentral:rRNA from 1 species